GGAAUCUUGAAGCGUUCUGGAUUGACUUUAACCUUGGAAGUCAAAGCAUCUCUUUUUACUUCUGUGUGACUGAUAAGGAUGCUCAGGAUGGCCAGUGGAACACUCUGUGUAUUGCUGACAAUGAGGUCCACAGUUACACAGUAGAAGAGGAGAGCGGCAGAAAGACUCUCCAUCUGGUUCUGACUGAGCCUGUCAACAUCGACAGCUUAGAGGGCUCCAGAGUCUGCAUCAAAUUCAG